UACAGUGGAAAACGCGCUGGCGAGAGGAUCGAUGGAACUGCGAGCGGGUGCAAAGUUGGGGGCGACGGUCCGGGGUGUGGGAUUGAGGCGGCGGGAAGUGCUAAUUAACUCAAUUUACGCCUCACGCUGCCUCCAGCGUCAUCAAGGACGAGUCACACCCCGGCCACUCCCUCUUCUCCCCUCCCAUCACGCAAAAGGUGUAGAGGUGUGAAAAACGCACACCUCCAGAUUCAGGGACAGCUUCUUUUCAGCUGUUAUCAGGCAACUGAAUCAUCCUGACACAACCAGAGAGCAGUGCUGAACAACUAUCAACCUCGUUGAUGAACCUCGGACUAUCCUUGAUCGGACUUUGCAGGCUUUACCUUGCACUAAACGUUAUUCCCUUAUCAUGUACCUAUACACUGUGAAUCAAUCAAUUAUAAUCAUGUAUUGUCUUUCUUCUGACUGCUUCACACGCAACAAAAGCUAUAUUUAAGAGAGAGUUAGGUGUGGCCCUUGUGGCUAAAGGGAUCAGGAGGUAUGGAGAGAAGGCAGGUACAGGAUACUGAGUUGGAUGAUCAGCCAUGAUCAAAUUGAAUGGCAGUGCAGGCUCGAAGGGCCGAAUGGCCUACUCCACGUAUUUUCUAUGUCUAUGUGUCUAUGUUUUUCACUGUACCUCGGUGCAUGUGUCAAUAAACUAAACUGAACUGC